GAUGAAGAACGCAGCGAAAUGCGAUAAGUAAUGCGAAUUGCAGAAUUCAGCGAGUCAUCGAAUCUUUGAACGCACAUUGCGCCCUUUGGUAUUCCGAGGGGCACACCCGUCCGAGCGCCGUUCGAACCCUCAGGCCAUGCCUGGCGUUGGAGGGGCCCGCGAGCCCCCCCAGAAACCCUUUGGCGACGCAGGGCCGUCCGCGAACGCAGCGAAAACCGCGUCCGGCCGGGUCAGGCGGCUGCCCGUCCCUUUUGGAAGGUUUGGCCUCGGAUCGGGUGGGGACACCCGCUGAACUUAAGCAUAUCAAUAAGCGGAGGA
rnacentral:misc_RNA from 1 species